rnacentral:rRNA from 1 species
CUGUCAUUGGAGAACAAGUCGCAAGAUAGUAACUGCUCUUGCGUUGAUAGUACCCGAAGAGGAAGAGACGGCUAACUCUGUGC